rnacentral:lncRNA from 1 species
CUAUCUCUUCACAGUGGAUGUCUCCACAACUCUCUCCCAUCUGAGUGGCCUCUGACUCACACUGACUGUCCCCUCCCAGAUGAAGUGUGAAUUAAAUUUUCCAGCCCUGUUGCAUCCUCCCCACUGAAUGAAAUGAAGGAUCUCCCGCUGGUCUGUCCAAGUGAAAACAAUGACCUCAAUAGAGGGUUACAUCUAGUUUUGCUCCCUAUCUGACCAGAAAGUACUUCGAGAAGCCACUGUCCAUGCCAACUGUAAGCAGAAGGGGCAGAUGCAUAUCUCAGAAGAAUAUUUGUGGUGGAGCAAAUAUUCCUCAGAAUUGAAACAUCCCUUCCGGGAGGGAUGUAAGACCCAAGAAAUGAACAAAACUGAGCUGUCUCGGGAAGCCUCUGGGACGCAUAAGCCUCCCAAGGCCCUGUCCAUAGCCCAAGGAGUACGACUGCUCAAGCGUAGUCACAAUUGCUGAGGGGAGGGGCCGGACUCACUGACUUCCUGCCCUUUCCCAGAGAGCCCCAGGGCAAUAGCCCAUUGUCAGUCAGGCUGAGGUGGGUGUGGGACGUAAAACCACUCCAGAAAGUUUGGGAAGAUAAAGCAAGUCUAGAGUCUGAGAUUCAGGUGACUCCAGCUCCCUGCUAGACUCCUGACUUGAAACAUGUGCCAUGCUUCUCACAUAAAAGAAACAUGUCCUACGGUCAUGUAGGCCCCAAACAGACUUCUCCAUUCUAAUGAGGUACCUAGAGGCCCAGAGGGCUCAGCCAAUGAGCUUUCCCUUCCCAGACAUCCCUUCUGGCAAAAGGCAUUUAAUCUCGGGCCCACCCUGAGAAGUGGGUACGGUUUACACACUCAUUUUCCACCAUGACAAUAAACUGUUUAGAACCAUGGACUGACUCUUUUCAUCAAGAUCUGCCUGUUGUGGGGUGCCAUGAAGAAGGCCUUCGCCUACAGAGCCACAGCCUAGUCUCCUGGAGAAGGCCUCUCUGGGCUCCCAGCCACAACUGCCACCAAGCUUGCUGCCAGGCUAAGGACAAUCAUCCCCAUGGGACAAGUUGGAGCUCCCCUCCCUCACCCACCCUCCACUACGGGCUGGACACCUCUCUUCUGCAACUCCCAGGGCGCCUGGAUGUCUAAGAGCCUGAGAACCCCUCUACCUCUGCCUUGUCUCAGGCCCAGGGACCCCUGAACCAGCUCCAGCUUUCUCACAUCUCAGACUGCGCUUUCCCACCCUGGAGCGAUGCCUCCCUACAGCCCAGCACCUGCCCUGGCAUGGGGUAAGCACAGUCAAACUCUCUGAGUUCUGCCCUGUGGCAGAGUGGACAAGGGCCUACGACCCUACUGUACAGUUAGUUUGCCUCUGAGCCAUCCACAGUAGUGAUGGUUUGUAUAUUCUUGGGCCAGGGAGCGGCCUUGUACGAAUAGGUGUGACUUGGCUGGAAUAGGUGUGUCACUGUGGGUGUGGGCUUAAUAGCCUCACCCUAGUUGCCUGAAAGUCAGUCUUCCACUAGCAGCCUUUGGAUGAAGACAUAGAACUCUCAGCUUUGCCUGUGCCAUACCUGCCUGGAUACUGCCAUGCUCCCACCUUGAUGAUAAUGGACUGAACCUCUGAACCUGUAAGCCAGCCCCAAUUAAAUGUUGUUUUUUAUAA